rnacentral:rRNA from 1 species
GUGAGGAAUAUUGCGCAAUGGAGGCAACUCUGACGCAGCCAUGCCGCGUGCAGGAAGAAGGCGCUACGCGUUGUAAACUGCUUUUAACCGGGAAGAAACCCCAGGACGUGUCCUGGGUUGACGGUACCGGAGGAAUAAGCACCGGCUAACUUCGUGCCAGCAGCCGCGGUAAUACGAAGGGUGCAAGCGUUAUCCGGAUUCAUUGGGUUUAAAGGGUGCGUAGGCGGAGCGUUAAGUCAGUGGUGAAAUCCUGCAGCUUAACUGUAGACUUGCCAUUGAUACUGGCGAUCUUGAGUGCGCUUGAAGUGGGCGGAAUGUGCCGUGUAGCGGUGAAAUGCUUAGAUAUGGCACAGAACACCAAUUGCGAAGGCAGCUCACUAAGGCGAUACUGACGCUGAGGCACGAAAGCGUGGGGAUCGAACAGGAUUAGAAACCCUAGUAGUCC